rnacentral:rRNA from 1 species
CAGUCGCCGCGGGAAUACGGAGGGAGCUGGCGUUGUUCGGAAUUACUGGGCGUAAAGCGCGCGUAGGCGGUUACUCAAGUCAGAGGUGAAAGCCCGGGGCUCAACCCCGGAACUGCCUUUGAAACUAGGUAACUAGAAUCUUGGAGAGGUCAGUGGAAUUCCGAGUGUAGAGGUGAAAUUCGUAGACAUCGGAAGGAACACCUGUGGCGAAAGCGGCUCACUGGACCAUUACUGACGCUGAGGCGCGAAAGCUAGGGGAGCAAACGGGAUUAGAUACCCCGGUAGUCCCUGUCUCUUAUAC